GCUGUGGGCAUCUGGCACUGAGGUUCCUGCAUGAAAACGGUAGCUGGUGGUGCCUGGACCUACAACUCCACUUCGGCUGUCACAGUGAAGUCUGCC
ensembl:miRNA